UACAGAGGUCUCAAGCGUUGUUCGGAUUCAUUGGGGCGUAAAGGGUGCGUAGGUGGCGCCGUAAGUCAGGUGUGAAAUCUCGGAGCUUAACUCCGAAACUGCAUUCGAUACUGCCGUGCUUGAGGACUGGAGAGGAGACUGGAAUUUACGGUGUAGCGGUGAAAUGCGUAGAUAUCGUAAGGAAGACCAGUGGCGAAGGCGGGUCUCUGGACAGUUCCUGACGCUGAGGCACGAAGGUCAGGGGGAGCAAACGGGG
rnacentral:rRNA from 1 species